rnacentral:rRNA from 1 species
GUCCUACGGGAGGCAGCAGUGGGGAAUUUUGGACAAUGGGCGCAAGCCUGAUCCAGCAAUGCCGCGUGCAGGAUGAAGGCCUUCGGGUUGUAAACUGCUUUUGUACGGAACGAAAAAGCUCUCUCUAAUACAGGGGGUGAAUGACGGUACCGUAAGAAUAAGCACCGGCUAACUACGUGCCAGCAGCCGCGGUAAUACGUAGGGUGCAAGCGUUAAUCGGAAUUACUGGGCGUAAAGCGUGCGCAGGCGGGUUUGUAAGACAGAGGUGAAAGCCCCGGGCUCAACCUGGGAACUGCCUUUGUUACUGCAAAGCUGGAGUGCGGCAGAGGGGGAUGGAAUUCCGCGUGUAGCAGUGAAAUGCGUAGAUAUGCGGAGGAACACCGAUGGCGAAGGCAAUCCCCUGGGCCUGCACUGACGCUCAUGCACGAAAGCGUGGGGAGCAAACAGGAUUAGAUACCCUUGUAGUCCG